UUCGGCCGUCGUCGAGAAGCCCUCCCCGCGGCUAUAUAAGCGCGUUCCCGAGCUCCCCUCCUCACGAGGAAGCCCAACCCCUCCUCCAAUCAACAUCGGAAAGUCCCCUCUUCCCAUCCAUGGCCGAGAGCCCUCCACCAAUCCCGAAGCCAAAUCCAUCCCCGUAGCCCUUUCCACUCCCUCUCUUCGUCUUGGAAGUCAACCCUAGGAGCUAGCGGAGCCACCGCCGCGCUCCGUUCCGCCAUGGAGGUCUUGCUGGCGCAGUUCCCCGUUGGAGCUCUCCGAUCGCUGGCGCUUGAGCCACGACAACGGUGCUACCGUCCAUCCCGGGCGACCCCGAGGCCACCUGCGGGUGUGGCAUAGCGCGGCCGAGUCGUCCCACUCGCCGGUCGGACCGCAGGUGCAAGAGGUCGAUCGCCAAGGCGCGACCCAAGGCCCCCUCUGUCUUUGCCCUGUGGUCGCGAGGAAGACGACGGUCAGGGAGGAGAGAGAGAGGAGCCACGUGGGCCCCCAUGUCAUCCAGUCGGCGUUGACCAGUCCGCCCGCUGACUGGGAUUAGUGGAAGCAUAUUUCUAAAUUACGCUUUCCAACUUCGAAAGCGUACUCGGGCACAGUUUCGGAUGAGAAUACGCUUUUGGUUACUGAAAGCAUAAACGUUGGAAAGGCUCCUUCUCCUUUCUCAGCCGUCGGUCGAAAGUGCUGAAGAGUGAGCAUUCACCCGUUAGGAACUGUGGUGGACACUGUUUUGCCCAUCUUACACCCUAAAGAACGAACGCUCGUAUCUUCGCGACCGUAGCUCCGAUUCAGCCCCUUCGAGAGCGAACGGCUUCCGGCGAUUCCUUCCGCGGACUCUCUGCACUUAUUCCUGGAGUAUUAUUCGACCCCAGGCAAGCUAACCAUCUGAUAUAUGCCCUAAAGCAUUGCUUUGUGUUAUUCUUGCAUGUUUAAUUAAUAUGCCUAUGAUAGAAAUAAUUAAACUUCUGUUAGAAUGCACUUACUGCUUACAUUACUUGCAUUAGUUUGUUAUGUGCUAACUCAAGGUAAUAUGCUGAGAUGCCUAGUGGCUGCCCUUAUAAGUUAUUGUGGUAAAACACAUGUUUACAUAAUGAACGUAGUCGGUUGAUCUAGAGUCACCUGUCCGGGCUUAUCCGUGCAGCCACAUUUGCCGGUAUAGGACAGCCUUGACUUGGUCUGAUAGCGUGCUCUUUCACCGAUACCUCCAGACACGGAAGGUUAUGCGCACGCGCUGCCCUAGCCCGGUAGGCGGCAAUAACCUUGUGAGCCAAGUUGAUUGUUUGACCCGGGAGUACCCGUUUGGGACAGUUUAGUUUGUCCACGACGGUGGCAGGUGUCAUGAGGACACAGGGGCCACCCAGGGCAGGACUCCGGGGGAGGAUGAAUGCCGGUGGUACGAUGAGAGAGUCAUGGGUGAGGCAGGUUUUGUUGGAGCAACGCUGGUCCACACGAAUGGGAUCAUGAGGCUAGGUGCUCCAUGGUGUGUGUAAAGUGCGCACCUGUGCAGAGUGUCAAAUCUAUUCGAAUAGCCGCGUCCACGGUAUUGGACAGCCCGUCCAGACCUCACUAGAUGGUCAACCAUAUCAACGAUAACAAUGAUGGAAGAACUCGUCUUGUGCAGACAUCAGAUGACGAUAUGUUAGCCAUGGGAUGGCUAUGAGAUGAGUGGUCGGAUGACCACAUGAGUUGGAUUGGAUUUGGAUCAGAUUCAGACUCGAUCAUGAGAAUAUUCGGAGUAUAAAUAAUUUACUUAAUAUGGUUUAUCUUAUCGUAUUUACUUUAGUAGUUAUCUUGCUGGAUAAUCGUGUUAUACCUUGAUAAUUAAUAUUGCUAGAUAGGUAUGCUAUGUCAUGAUAAUUAAUAUUGCUCUAAUAAAAAAUGCAUGCUUGAAUGCCAUGGAAUUGCAUUGCUUGGUGUAUAUGUUAGUUUGGUUUGCUUGCGACUACAUUCAAAAGUACUCAGCGGCUUUUAACAUGGCCAGGUUCACAUAAGGAUCCGUCGUCCAUCAUCAAGGAGCCGGAGUGUUCCCGGGCUAGAAGAGUAACCUAGUCAGAUCUGUGUGGAUUGGAGCAGCACCAAGACCAUGCUGCCUUAGAUAGAGCUUUUCCGCUGCCAUCACCCUUGUGAUAUAUCUUGUAAGACUAAUAUAUCCAUUAACAGAAAUGCAUGUGUUCAUGAUACUUGUUGUAAUGCA